rnacentral:rRNA from 1 species
UAGGGAAUAUUCGGCAAUGGACGGAAGACUGACCGAGCAACGCCGCGAGAGUGAAGAAGGUUUGCGGAUCGUAAAGAUCUGUUGUUAGAGAAGAACGCUGGUAGGAGUGGAAAAUCUACCAAGUGACGGUAACUAACCAGAAAGGGACGGCUAACUACGUGCCAGCAGCCGCGGUAAUACGUAGGUCCCGAGCGUUGUCCGGAUUUAUUGGGCGUAAAGCGAGCGCAGGCGGUUCUUUAAGUCUGAAGGUAAAGGCAGUGGCUUAACCAUUGUACGCUUUGGAAACUGGAGGGCUUGGGUGGAGGAGGGGAGAGUGGAAUUCCAUGUGUAGCGGUGAAAUGCGUAGAUAUAUGGAGGAACACCGGUGGCGAAAGCGGCUCUCUGGUCUGUAACUGACGCUGAGGCUCGAAAGCGUGGGGAGCAAACAGG